rnacentral:rRNA from 1 species
GAUGAACGCUGGCGGCGUGCCUAAUACAUGCGAGUCGAGCGAACGGACGAGAAGCUUGCUUCUCUGAUGUUAGCGGCGGACGGGUGAGUAACACGUGGAUAACCUACCUAUAAGACUGGGAUAACUUCGGGAAACCGGAGCUAAUACCGGAUAAUAUUUUGAACCGCAUGGUUCAAAAGUGAAAGACGGUCUUGCUGUCACUUAUAGAUGGAUCCGCGCUGCAUUAGCUAGUUGGUAAGGUAACGGCUUACCAAGGCAACGAUGCAUAGCCGACCUGAGAGGGUGAGCGGCCACACUGGAACUGAGACACGGUCCAGACUCCUACGGGAGGCAGCAGUAGGGAAUCUUCCGCAAUGGGCGAAAGCCUGACGGAGCAACGCCGCGUGAGUGAUGAAGGUCUUCGGAUCGUAAAACUCUGUUAUUAGGGAAGAACAUAUGUGUAAGUAACUGUGCACAUCUUGACGGUACCUAAUCAGAAAGCCACGGCUAACUACGUG